AAUAUAUACUAACAGUUCUUAUUACUUUUUGGGCCGUCUCUCUCUUCUCCUCGCACAGACCCAAACACUUCUCCAUUUUCUAAACCACUGCAAUUUACUCUCUUUAUUUCUCUCCAUUUUCAUUCCAUCAACAACAUCACUCAUUUACCCACUACUUAAUCUUGCCCUCAGUGCACUCCGAUAAACAAAAGAAACAGGGCCAUUGCAAAGUUAAUUCGCAAUGAGAAGAAGCAUAGCUCUUUGUCGGAGAGGACUAAGAUCCUACUGUACUGACGCUGGAGAUGGAUCUCAUAGCUCCAAACUCAAAAUAUUUGAUCGUCAUCUUAAGAGUAUGCAACGUGAUAGAGCGGCUUGGUUGAUGAAGCCUAAGGAUUCUCUUGUUGAUACUGUGGUUGAGAAUUUACUAGAUCGAUUGGAGCCAACGAAUGACCCCUAAUAGAUUGGGAUACCAUGGAUCUGUUCCCACACGUGAUUAAAAAUGAUUCUGAUUGUAAGAAAAUAUUUCCUAUUGCAUUGUGUAUGGGGGGUUCUCUGGAAGCUAUCAGAUGAUUAUUGCGAGGACGCAGUGAGAAGAAAGUUUCUUGAGGCACUUGUUUUAACAAUAUUCUUUAUUUAUUUUUUAAUCAAGAAAUUAAAAACUAUUGUUUCUUGAUAUCACUUGGUGUUGACUUGUCAGUUCAAGAAUUUCAUAUUUGUCACGACCCAA